rnacentral:rRNA from 1 species
GAUGAACGCUGGCGGCGUGCUUAAUACAUGCAAGUCGAGCGAGGACCACCCGGUGGCAACACCGGGUGACUCCUAGCGGCGAACGGGUGAGUAACACGUGGGCAACCUGCCCCCGACUCUGGGAUAAGCCCGGGAAACUGGGUCUAAUACCGGAUACGAGCCUCCACCGCAUGGCGGAGGUUGGAAAGGGUCUCCGGUCGGGGAUGGGCCCGCGGCCUAUCAGCUUGUUGGUGGGGUAACGGCCCACCAAGGCGACGACGGGUAGCCGGCCUGAGAGGGUGAACGGCCACACUGGGACUGAGACACGGCCCAGACUCCUACGGGAGGCAGCAGUAGGGAAUCUUGCGCAAUGGGCGAAAGCCUGACGCAGCGACGCCGCGUGCGGGACGAAGGCCCUCGGGUUGUAAACCGCUUUCAGCAGGGACGAAGCGAGAGUGACGGUACCUGCAGAAGAAGGUCCGGCCAACUACGUGCCAGCCGCCGCCGUAACAC